CCAAUAUUUUUCGAGUUAUUUUUUUAUAAUUUGUUUUGUGUGCAAUUAGAUUACUUUUGGUUUUAUUCAAUCAAAAAACUACCACUUUUUUAGCCAACAGUGAAUAAAAAAUUCUUUUUCUAUCUAAUAAGCAGCAAUGAACAAUUGGAAGGAAUAAUGCAAUUGCGCUCAAAUUCAUUCAUUAGUGAAAUGGCAACAAAGCAAGGCCAAAAAACAAACUGACAUAAUUUCCCUUUCCUUUUGUUUUGGCGCAAAUAAUUGUGAACACAUUUUAAUGUUAAAUAUAAUUAAUAUGGUUUAGAAAAAUGGAAAUAUUAAAUUUCGGAAAAUAUUAGGCAACGGAUGUGCGAGUUCUGGGCAGUAGCCGGAAUUAAAGAUUUCAAAUGCAACUAUAAGUCAAGACUGCAACCAAAAACAACAGAAAUAUCCAACACAUUUUAUUGUGAACGGCAAAGGAAGUGAAUGCAACAACAGUAUUAAUCCUGUGUUCAAUAUCUCCACACCACUGAAACAACAUAAAAUCGUGGACCAUAUUAGAUUGUCAACUACGAGUCAAGAAAUGCAUGCUCUUUGGCCAUUUAGUACUACCACUUUCUCUUACCAAUGAUACCAGUGGCGUAAUGGCGCAAUAGCCACAGGACCAAAUGCAGCUAAAACUGUUCCAGAUUUUUAAUUUCGUCGUCAUCGGCAGUAGUUCAACAAAAAGAUCGUAGUGCCAAUUCCAAUGGAACAUCAGGCAAACAGAAUGAUUCCAAUAAGAUAAACAAACAAAUUCAAUGUGUUUCCCAAAACUUACCAAUCAAUUUGAAUUCGAUUUAUGAUGCGAAAACCAAUUUAAAAAGGGAAAGAGGAACCUCUUGUCAUAAGGAUGAUAGAGAUAAUAUAGGUAAGGUUAGUUUAUAAAUUUGGCUGAUUAUAGGAACUAUUUAAAUAUUUCGUUAUAGAUUCCAAUGGCUCCCUUCUUUUAGUACCAGUUAUUGAUAGAUUAAAUUUUUUAUUAAUUAUUAGGAGGUACGUUUAAUAGUUUACAUAUUCUUUACUAUUUUUUAUAUUAUUUAUAUAUAGUGAUUGCGUCGCUGGCGGUUAUGCUGCAUGCCUAAAUUUUGCCACAUCCUACGGCUAUCAAACCAUUGCAAAUGGAGUAUAUUCGUCUCAGGCUGGAUUUAAUGAUUUAAGACGUCUACUGCUUAGAGGAAGCUAUAUAGCGCACAAUUUGGCAAAAACUCGUCGCAAUCGUCCAUGUUUUAAGAAAAGACGAUGGCCCUUGUGGUCGUUUGAAAUAAGAUAUGAAUAUGUCCCAGAAUUACUUAAUGAUGAUAGGGAUCUUAUGGCUAGUUCGCUUAAAGGUAAGUAAAAAGGAGUUAUGUAUUUGUUUUGCAUGAAAAUAUAAUGGGUAUUUCUGAAAGUAAUUUUAGAACAGGUUAGUAGUUGAAUUGAAGGAUAGCAGAACAUUUCCCAUUGACAUCUAAAAUCAAAGCCCUAUACAAAUUGCAGAGAAAUUUAGCACAAAAUAAUAUAAAGAACCUGGUUCUAGUAAGAAUUCGUAAAAAUUAUUCAAAUUCGGUAGAUUCGAAAAUUCAGGUUACUUAUUUAACUCGACCUAGUAUAUAUCUUACCAAAACAUGUUUUAAGCAUUCAAUGCUUUAUAAUUUUGUAUGUAUAUAUUUUUGAUGAAAUUCAUUCGAUAUUUUGUGCAUUAUUUGCAGUGUGAUUUACGUUUUUUUUUUCUUUACAAAAAUUCAUAUAUAAGUACAUUAACAUAUAUUGAAUAUACAUAUAUGUAUAUAUGUGUAUGUAUAUAUCUAUAGAUAUAUUUUAAAUAACAUUUUAUCACAAU